UACGUAGGGGGCAAGCGUUGUCCGGAAUCAUUGGGCGUAAAGCGCGUGUAGGCGGCCCGGUAAGUCCGCUGUGAAAGUCGGGGGCUCAACCCUCGAAUGCCGGUGGAUACUGUCGGGCUAGAGUGCGGAAGAGGCGAGUGGAAUUCCUGGUGGAGCGGUGAAAUGCGUUGAUAUCCUAAGGAACACCGGUGGCGAAAGCGGCUCACUGGGUCUCUUCUGACGCUGAGGCACGAAAGCUAGGGUAGCGAACGGG
rnacentral:rRNA from 1 species